GGCUUACACAUGCAAGUCGAGGGGCAGCACAGUGCAGCAAUGUAUGGGUGGCGACCGGCGCACGGGUGAGUAACGCGUAUGCAACCUACCUAUAAGAGGGGGAUAGCCCGGCGAAAGUCGGAUUAAUACCCCGUAAGACAGGGGUUCCGCAUGGGACUAUUAGUUAAAGGAUUUAUUGCUUAUAGAUGGGCAUGCGUACCAUUAGGUAGUUGGUAGGGUAACGGCUUACCAAGCCUUCGAUGGUUAGGGGUUCUGAGAGGAAGGUCCCCCACACUGGAACUGAGACACGGUCCAGACUCCUACGGGAGGCAGCAGUGAGGAAUAUUGGUCAAUGGCCGCAGGGCUGAACCAGCCAAGUCGCGUGAAGGAGGACGGCCCUAAGGGUUGUAAACUUCUUUUGUAUGGGAAUAAAGUGCGGGAUGUGUCCUGUUUUGUAUGUACCAUACGAAUAAGCAUCGGCUAACUCCGUGCCAGCAGCCGCGGUAAUACGGAGGAUGCGAGCGUUAUCCGGAUUUAUUGGGUUUAAAGGGUGCGUAGGUGGGCUGUUAAGUCAGCGGUGAAAUUUUGGUCGCUUAACGAUAAAAAUGCCGUUGAAACUGGUGGUCUUGAGUAUGGAGGAAGCAGGCGGAAUGCGUGGUGUAGCGGUGAAAUGCUUAGAGAUCACGCAGAACUCCGAUUGCGAAGGCAGCUUGCUAUACCAAAACUGACGCUGAGGCACGAAAGCGUGGGUAUCAAACAGGAUUAGAUACCCUGGUAGUCCACGCAGUAAACGAUGAUUACUAGGAGUUUGCGAUAAAGCGUAAGCUCUACAGCGAAAGCGUUAAGUAAUCCACCUGGGGAGUACGCCGGCAACGGUGAAACUCAAAGGAAUUGACAGGGGCCCGCACAAGCGGAGGAACAUGUGGUUUAAUUCGAUGAUACGCGAGGAACCUUACCCGGGAUUGAAAUGUGCACGAAUGGGGAUGAAAUUUUCAGCCAGCGAUGGCGUGCAUGUAGUGCUGCAUGAUGUCGU
rnacentral:rRNA from 1 species